GCUGGAGUAGCUCAGUCGGCAGAGCACGUCCUUGGUAAGGACGGGGUCAAGGGUUCGAUUCCCUUCUCCAGCU
rfam:Omnitrophica WOR_2 bacterium RBG_13_44_8b RBG_13_scaffold_9517, whole genome shotgun sequence.